rnacentral:rRNA from 1 species
UGGGGAAUAUUGCACAAUGGGCGAAAGCCUGAUGCAGCAACGCCGCGUGCGGGAUGACGGCCUUCGGGUUGUAAACCGCUUUCAGCAGGGACGAAGGUUUUCUGACGGUACCUGCAGAAGAAGCACCGGCUAACUACGUGCCAGCAGCCGCGGUGAUACGUAGGGUGCGAGCGUUGUCCGGAAUUAUUGGGCGUAAAGAGCUUGUAGGCGGUCCGUUGCGUCGGAAGUGAAAACUCAGGGCUUAACCCUGAGCCUGCUUUCGAUACGGGCGGACUUGAGGGAUGUAGGGGAGAACGGAAGUUCCUGGCGGAGCGGUGGAAUGCGCAGAUAUCAGGAGGAACACCAGUGGCGAAGGCGGUUCUCUGGACAUUUCCUGACGCUGAGAAGCGAAAGCGUGGGGAGCAAACAGGCUUAGAUACCCUGGUAGUCCACGCCGUAAACGGUGGGCACUAGGUGUGGGACCCAUUCCACGGGUUCCGUGCCGUAGCUAACGCAUUAAGUGCCCCGCC